UCUCUUUCAUUCCCCUCUUUUUUUUUCUGUUUCCUCAGCGCCGUUUUAUCUUUCUCUUCUCUCUCCUCUAACAAACCCUAAUCAACGACCUGCUGCUCCUUCCUUAUCUUCUUUCUCUUCUUCCUCUUUCUUGUUGUCGGCACGUCGCUCGGUCCUAGCAACGGCGGUAGUGACGCAAGGAGCUGGUACAAACCUACCUCUCGUCGUUACCCCCUCCUAAAAUGAUUUUUCCUAAAGAUUAUUGAAAUCCCGAUGUAUUUCUGUACAAUAAAGAAACAGAUGGAAGCUAAGGAUGAUAGUGGAUAUAAACAUGUAUGGGAGAUCUGUGCAGAUGUGAGGUUGAUUUUCAAGAAUGCGAUGAAAUAUACUAAUGAAAAGAAUGAUCUACAUGUCAUGGCAAGAACCUUGUUGGCAAAGUUCUAAGAAAAGUGGCUACAAUUUUUGCCUGAGUUGUGGAAAAGGUUGUUGUUGCAGGAUAAUAGACGAUAAGAGGAAGCUGAUGUACAGCUAAGCAUGCAUCUGCUCAAGAGUCUACUUAUGCCAAAAUGACUUGGGGUAUAAGCAAUGAGGAAAAUGUCAACAGAAGAGGAAAGGCAGGUUGGCAUAGCCCUCACGGGUCACAAGGCUAUCCACUGAUGAUCUCAGUGGGGCACUAAAGAUUGUUGUCCUAAGCAAUCCUAGUUUUGUAUUAAAUGCGCUAAGGAGGUGGACCUCGCUAUAGAUGCUCAGGUAGUCUUUUUCCGGAUAUAUUGUCUGCCCCACAGGCUAGCUUCUUGUCAGAUCAUUUUAGGAAUGUUUUUCCAUUGACAUAUAGAGUGAAUCCACAUUAUGGAGGCUAUAAUUCUAUGUAAAAGUUGCACCGCAAGCUCAAGGCAAGCCUGCAGCAAGCAUGUGUGGCAACUAUAGCGAUAACAAUGAAACAAUAAACAAAAGAGAGACUGAGAGAGGUCUGCGAUGCCAACUAGGCUUGCCAAGAGGUGUAAGAAGGUAGCAUCUUGAAUUUUUUUAACUAUGUAGAAUAGAUGAAAUAAGCUCCAUAUGAUCUGUAACUAUGUAUGUAACACUCCCUUGAAUAUCAGAACAUUUUCAAAAGGUAUUAUUCUCAUUCUAUUGCUAUGAGCCUGUGACUGCUUUAAGGAUGUAGUCUGAACUUUGAUGUCAGUUUUAGAAGAGCUGGAAAUGAUUGGAUUUCUUGGUAGCUGUGGGUGAUUUUAGUAAUGAGACAAACUAUGAUUUUAUUUUUUUGGA